UGCUCAAGCAGUACAGCACUUUUCCAUAAUACCAGUUUUACACCAUUUCUGCCACUGGGAAGAGGCCAGCCAGGCAAUCCCACCUUUGAUGGUAUCAGACCAUUCUUUAUGGCCUAGUGUAAGAACUGGUGGGAGCUGAAACGCUUUAAAACAUUCACGUGUGCUAGAACAUUUCCAUUUGCUCAACUGAGACUUCUGCAGSUUGCUUUAUUUCGACACUGGAGAGGUUGCUGGAAUUGAUACUCCUGAUUCACCAGAGAAAACCUACAGAUUAAAAAGUUAUCAGGUUUAUGAUGUCGUCCUUUUUGGAGCUGAGGAGCAGCUGUUGCUACAUAACAGCUCUGAGCAUGAUGAACAUUUUGGGAGAAGGGGUAAUU